CUUCCAAUGAGGGAUCCCUAUUUUUUGCCAACUUGAGGGAUAGGCUCGCAGCCCUUGGAUCUGUUUUAAUGAGGCUCGACGGCUGAGAUCAAGUUGAGAGAUUUAAACCCUUUCUAACCUAUAUCACCCCGAGUUCCAGAACUACCCAAUUCGUUCUGCCCCUCUCUCGCGCAUCAACGCUCAGAGAAUUCUCCGAUUUCCAACUCCUCCAAUCUCAAUCAAAAUUCGGAGCUCAUCUCUAUCAAAACCCACCAAAGAUUCAAACUUUCUCCACCAAAGGGUCCACGAAUCAAAACCCAGAAGCGUUGAUUCGUGAAUGGCGAGCCUGUAUGUGAAAGCUGUGCCUCCUGCGGAUCUGAAUAGGAACUCAUAGUGGUUCAUGUACCCUGGCGUUUGGACCACCUAUUUUCUCAUCCUCUUCUUCUCUUGGCUCCUUGUGCUCUCGAUUUUUGGCUGCUCUCCUGGCCUGGCUUGGACCAUAGUCAAUCUCUCUCAUUUCGUGGUCGUCGUCUCGGGUGACGCAAUUGAAAAGGAAGCGACCGGUGAAGCUUUGCAUUCAGAUUGUAUCGACGGGAUUUGGGGCUGCUCCGGGGACGCCGUCUACGGCGGCGUGGAGAGAGCUGGUGGAGGAAGAUUGAGAAGGGUACUUCUCCGUAUAUUGUAAGAAAGGGAGGAGAGAGGCUUUGGAGGAUCAGUACUCAGCCACUCUUAAUCUUCAAGGUGAUCCCAAACAGGCGUUUUUUGGUGCAUUUGAUGGGCAUGGAGGUGCAAAAGCUGCUGAAUUUGCAGCCCACAACUUAGAAAGAAACAUUUUAGAUGAAGUUGUGAGGAGGAAUGACGAAACAAAACAUAGAGAUUUGCACUCAUG